GACGAACGCUGGCGGCGUGCUUAACACAUGCAAGUCGAACGGAAAGGCCCUGCUUUUGUGGGGUGCUCGAGUGGCGAACGGGUGAGUAACACGUGAGUAACCUGCCCUUGACUUCGGGAUAACCUCAGGAAACUGGGGCUAAUACCGGAUAGGAGCUCCUGCUGCAUGGUGGGGGUUGGAAAGUUUCGGCGGUUGGGGAUGGACUCGCGGCUUAUCAGCUUGUUGGUGGGGUAGUGGCUUACCAAGGCUUUGACGGGUAGCCGGCCUGAGAGGGUGACCGGCCACAUUGGGACUGAGAUACGGCCCAGACUCCUACGGGAGGCAGCAGUGGGGAAUAUUGCACAAUGGGCGGAAGCCUGAUGCAGCAACGCCGCGUGCGGGAUGACGGCCUUCGGGUUGCAAACCGCUUUCGCCUGUGACGAAGCGUGAGUGACGGUAAUGGGUAAAGAAGCACCGGCUAACUACGUGCCAGCAGCCGCGGUGAUACGUAGGGUGCGAGCGUUGUCCGGAUUUAUUGGGCGUAAAGGGCUCGUAGGUGGUUGAUCGCGUCGGAAGUGUAAUCUUGGGGCUUAACCCUGAGCGUGCUUUCGAUACGGGUUGACUUGAGGAAGGUAGGGGAGAAUGGAAUUCCUGGUGGAGCGGUGGAAUGCGCAGAUAUCAGGAGGAACACCAGUGGCGAAGGCGGUUCUCUGGGCCUUUCCUGACGCUGAGGAGCGAAAGCGUGGGGAGCGAACAGGCUUAGAUACCCUGGUAGUCCACGCUGUAAACGGUGGGUACUAGGUGUGGGGUCCAUUCCACGGGUUCCGUGCCGUAGCUAACGCUUUAAGUACCCCGCCUGGGGAGUACGGCCGCAAGGCUAAAACUCAAAGGAAUUGACGGGGCCCCGCACAAGCGGCGGAGCAUGCGGAUUAAUUCGAUGCAACGCGUAGAACCUUACCUGGGUUUGACAUGGAUCGGGAGUGCUCAGAGAUGGGUGUGCCUCUUUUGGGGUCGGUUCACAGGUGGUGCAUGGCUGUCGUCAGCUCGUGUCGUGAGAUGUUGGGUUAAGUCCCGCAACGAGCGCAACCCUUGUUCACUGUUGCCAGCACGUUAUGGUGGGGACUCAGUGGAGACCGCCGGGGUCAACUCGGAGGAAGGUGGGGAUGACGUCAAGUCAUCAUGCCCCUUAUGUCCAGGGCUUCACGCAUGCUACAAUGGCUGGUACAGAGAGUGGCGAGCCUGUGAGGGUGAGCGAAUCUCGGAAAGCCGGUCUCAGUUCGGAUUGGGGUCUGCAACUCGACCUCAUGAAGUCGGAGUCGCUAGUAAUCGCAGAUCAGCAACGCUGCGGUGAAUACGUUCCCGGG
rnacentral:rRNA from 1 species